GCCUGGGUGGCUCAGUCGGUUAAGCGUCUGACUUCAGCUCAGGUCACAAUCUUGCCGUCCGUGAGUUCAAGUCCCGCGUCGGGCU
rnacentral:tRNA from 1 species